GGGCGCAAGCCUGAUGCAGCCAUGCCGCGUGUAUGAAGAAGGCCUUCGGGUUGUAAAGUACUUUCAGCGGGGAGGAAGGGAGUAAAGUUAAUACCUUUGCUCAUUGACGUUACCCGCAGAAGAAGCACCGGCUAACUCCGUGCCAGCAGCCGCGGUAAUA
rnacentral:rRNA from 1 species